rnacentral:RNase_P_RNA from 1 species
CGAGGUAAGAGCUCACCGCUCCGGUGGUGACAUCGGAGGCUUGGUAAACCCCACCCGGAGCAAGACCAAAUAGAGGGACGUUUGAGGGCUACCCGUCCGAGUCCCUGGGUAGGUCGCUUUAUCCCAAUAGCAAUAUCGGGAAUAGAUGAAUGAUCAUUGUCCCGUAAAGGGUAACUGAUACGGGAAACAGAACCCGGCUUAUGGCCUGCUCUAGCAU